GCUGCUGUAGCUCAGUCGGCAGAGCACUUCCUUGGUAAGGAAGAGGUCAUGGGUUCGACUCCCAUCAGCAGCU
rnacentral:tRNA from 1 species